rnacentral:rRNA from 1 species
UACAUAGGUCUCAAGCGUUGUUCGGAUUCAUUGGGCGUAAAGGGUGCGUAGGUGGCGUGGUAAGUCGGGUGUGAAAUUUCGGAGCUUAACUCCGAAACUGCAUUCGAUACUGCUGUGCCUGAGGACUGGAGAGGAGACUGGAAUUUACGGUGUAGCAGUGAAAUGCGUAGAGAUCGUAAGGAAGACCAGUGGCGAAGGCGGGUCUCUGGACAGUUACUGACACUGAGGCACGAAGGCCAGGGGAGCAAACGGG